rnacentral:rRNA from 1 species
UCAGACGAUGCGUCAUGCAUAUCAAUAAGCGGAGGAAAAGAAACUAACAAGGAUUCCCCUAGUAACGGCGAGUGAAGCGGGAAGAGCUCAAAUUUGAAAUCUUAAAGGGUUUCCCUUUACGAAUUGUAGUUUAAAGAAGUGUUUUCUGUUGAGGUUUUGGUAAAAGUUCUUUGGAAUAGGACAUCAUAGAGGGUGAGAAUCCCGUAUUUGACCUUUACUUUCAACUUUGUGAUACACUUUCAAAGAGUCGGAUUGUUUGGGAAUGCAGUCCAAAAUGGGUGGUAAAUUUCAUCUAAAGCUAAAUAUUGGCGAGAGACCGAUAGCGAACAAGUACCGUGAGGGAAAGAUGAAAAGAACUUUGAAAAGAGAGUUAAACAGUACGUGAAAUUGUCAAAAGGGAAGCGUUUGACACCAGUGUUGUUUUUCUGAAAAUCAAUUAAAGAACUGUUUAUGCUAAGCUGUUUAGACUUUAUCAGCUAUCUGUUUAGUUUUGAGCUUUUCUUUAAUGCACUUUUCAGUUAACAAGUCAACAUCAAUUUCUUUUGCUGUAAAAAAGCUUGAGGAAGGUGGCUUGAGAUUCGUCUUAAGUGUUUAUAGCCUCUUGCCUCUGCAGUCGGAGAGACUGAGGUCUGCAGCGUAGACUCCUCGGGGCUUAAAUGCAUUUGUGCUAAGUUAUAGCAUUUUAUAGACAACUUGUUGACUAUGAUUAGUCUUGUAGCUUACUCGCUUAUGCUAUUUUACCUACGCUUAGGAUGUUGACGAUCAGCUGAGCGCG